rnacentral:misc_RNA from 1 species
AAUUCUCAACCUUUCCAAGUUUUAUUACCUGGUCAGGCUUGGAUUUGGGGGUUGCAGGUUUCUUUCAUGAAGUCAGCUCCUCUUAAACACAUUAGCGGAACCUUUUUGUGGACCGUCAAUGGUGUGAUAAUUAUCUACGCUAUUGUACGCUACAAUCUUAUAGGGCUUCAGCUUCUAACUGUCCAUUGACUUGGACAAUUCUUGACC